rnacentral:rRNA from 1 species
UACGUAGGGGGCAAGCGUGGUCCGGAAUCAUUGGGCGUAAAGAGCGCGCAGGCGGUCGUUCAAGUCGCGUGUGAAAGCCCCCGGCUCAACUGGGGAGGGUCACUCGAUACUGAUCGACUUGAAGGCAGGAGAGGGAAGCGGAAUUCCCGGUGUAGUGGUGAAAUGCGUAGAUAUCGGGAGGAACACCAGUGGCGAAGGCGGCUUCCUGGCCUGUUCUUGACGCUGAGGCGCGAAAGCUAGGGGAGCAAACGGG